AUGUUUUUACUCAAAUUUGAUGAAAAUUGAGAUUGAUCGCCCAUGCACCAAUUACCUAUAUAGAGUACUAAAAACUCAGAAAAUCAAAAGUCACAUCAAACUUUUUCCUUUCAAAUUUUUAAACCUAGGUAUUAUUGGAUUUAGAGACCCUCAUUUUUUAAAAAAAAGUUGAACUUUGAAAUCUGCACCUCUGAGCCCUCGGAGUCAAUUUGAAGUUCAUCCAGCGAUGACACAAAAUCAAAACCUGUUACUAAUUUUUAAAACGAGGCAGGAAAAUACACCUUUUGCUGCUGAAAAGAGAUGAGGUGUUAAAAAUUUGAAAUCCCCAAAAGGCACACCUAGUUCACACCCCUCUCCCGCUGUACGUUCCGAAUUUCAGCUCCGUAGGUUAAUUUUGAAGGGUGACAGUCAUGACACAGGAUUUUCAAGGUAAAAAAAAAACACGAAAAGACAUAUUAUUUUCUCUCUCUCCAAAAAUUGCUUUAGGAGGCUGCUCUUUGGGAACGGUAUGCAACUUUCAAUUUUCUAUCGAGGGGUUUUUAAUUUAAUUUUUUUAGGAUUUUACCCUCCUCUUCACCCUCUAUCAAAAAUUUUAUCAUCCGCGAGUUUCGACUCACGAUCAUCCCCACUCAAACUCCUUCAAUUCAAUAUAAAACCAAACCUAAAUAGAGAUUUUGAGCGAAUUUUGUUGAAAUCUCCUUAGCUGAGAUGUUUUCAUAGUCUGGUAAAAAAUUAAUAAAAUAAUAUCCACUUCAGGCAUGCAAAAUAUGUGGUCAUUUUUUAACUUAAGUAUGAAAAAGUGGACAAAUGGCAUCCUCAAUACUGUAAAAAAAAUUUAUAUUUAUACACUUCACUCUGAAAUAAAUAGAAAAAUUUGGUAUUUUUAUCUGGAAAAUUUUACUUUGCUCGGGCAAAAUCCAUUCCUUUUUUUGCAUUAUUUUACCUACUCACUAGGGCAAUUUCAAGAGUGAAGAAAUCGACUUAAGCUACAUAAAAAACAAUUCUGCUCUACUUAUUGAAUGGUUUUAUAAAUUUUUUCAUCUGCUGAAGCACAAAUUUUCCAAAAUCAUGAUGAUGAUGUCGAUUUUGUUUGUCAAAAUUCGACCAAAGUAAUCAGCUCCGAAAUCUUGGAACAAAACAUAAUUUUAUUCUACUCGUAGACUUUCGAAUGGAAACCUCUGAAAUACGUUAUAGCACCCAGUCAAGUUGAAUGAAAAUAAUUAGAUAAUACCUAAGGGAAACUUCUUGAGGUGUCAUCAUUCGAUUUAAACGGGACCGUGAUUUUUGGAAAGAGCAUAGUUUAAAACCCUCAAAACCAAAUCAUCAGCUGUUCAACUUCAUUUUUUGAAUUUUGGCGAACGUUUAAAAAUUCAAAUUUGGCUGUUUUUAGUGAUUUAUGUUUAAAAAAAAAAAAAAAAAAAAAGUACGUACAUGAUCAGAAAAAAAUGAUCAAAGUAAGUCCUAAAAGUAAUAUUAAUUCCCCAAAUCCAAAUUUCUCCAUUUUCAGCCAUUCUGAAGCCUCCAGCGCAAUUUUUCAAUUUCUACAGAAUUUUGAAUAAGCUCCAGAAGGCGUGAAUAUGAAGUUGGGCAGCUAAAAAUCGAGUUGUGUGUUACACUCGACCUGUUUAACGAGUUUAUCGACAUUUGAACGGAUUUUGGGAGUGACGCCUCAAGAAGGAUUCUUUGACCAAAUUUUUACGUAAACAAAAAUGGUCAAAAAUCAAAAAUUUCUCGUUUGCGAGGAAAUUUUCGAAAUUUGCGUGAAUCAUUGUAUUUCGUCCAGAGUCAUUUGCAAAAAUUCUGGAAUCUCCAGCGCGAUUUUGAAUUUUUCCAGAAUUUUUAAUUUGCUCCAGAAGGAAUUAAUAUGACGUAUUUUCAAAAUUUCCUCUCAAAAGGGAAACUUUUGAUUUUUUGGAUAUUUUUAUUAUGAAAAAAGCUGGUCAAAAAAAACAAUGUUGAGGUGUCGUUCCCAAAAUCGGCGCAAAUGUGGAUAAACUCGUGAAACAGGUCAAGUACAUAUAACACACAACUCGAUUUUUAGCUGUCCAACGUCAUAUUCACGCCUUCUGGAGAAAAUUCAAAAUUCUGGAGAAAUUGAAAAAUUGCGCUGGAGGCUCCAGAAUGCCUGGAAAUGGUGAAAUUUGGAUUUGGAGAAUGAUUAUCAGUUUUAGGACUUAUUUUGAUCAUUUUUACUGAUCAUGUAGGGGAAGCUGUUGUUGUGUUGUACCACGGAACAAUUUUUCGUUUUUUGCGCCCAGCGUUGAGAAUUCAAAAUUUUAGUAAUUUGUGUUUAGCCCAUGUGAAAGAGCGUUUAAAAAGGAAUAAAUUACGUGUAUAGAAAAUUCCAUUCAUAACAUACUAUGGCCACAAUUUGCAUUCAAAAAAUUGAAAAUUUUCGUUCCGUGGUACAUUGGGGUAAUGUACCAGGGAACACCACAUAAUGCACUGUGAAACGCAAUAACUUUUUCACUAAAAUUUUUUUGGAAGCUCCUGAUUAACGAUUUGAAACUAUUGCUUAUCGAUUCCAGACUUCGAAAGCACUAUUUGAGGUCUUUAAAUCUCAAUUUCAUCAAAUUUUGAGUUUUUCAUAAAAAAUGGGUCAAAUUUGAAUUUUUGAAAGUUCAAAAGUAAAAAAAUGAAGCUAAUUUGUGCUGGUGGUAAAUUUUCUGAAGCAAUGUCUACCUAUUUCAAUUUUUUGAUGCUUUACUUCGUGGCAUAGCUAAAAAAAAGUAGUAAGAAAUGCAAAAAAUUGGUGUUCCGUAGUACAUUAGGUCACUUUGUUCCAAGGUACAAGACCCCAUGAAAAUUUGGAAAAAAAAUUAUUUUGAAAAAAGUUGAUGUUUUCAAGCUUAUCCAAGAACGCUAAUCGGUAGCUGGUAUAAUGUACUAACUUACAACAGUGAAACAAUUUUGAAAUAUUUUAAUCUCUUAUUGUCAGUAGUUUUAACAAAACCAUUGAAAUAAUUACUUUUACAUGCAUAAAAUACAUUUUAUCAAUUUUUGUCACGAAGAUGGCCACCAAUUUUAUGAAAUUUUAUAUGGUGGGACUCAUAAUACUACUUCACAUGUGUGUUACGUCAGAUUGCCGCUAGGAGCGCUAUGCGCUUCGCACCAGCAAAGUGUUCCCUGGUACAUUAUGGUCGGGGUACAACAGUCUCCCCUACGUGCUUUUUAAAAAAGGCAUAAAUCACCAAAAAACAGUCAAUUUUGAAUUUUCAAAUGUUCGCCAAAAAUCGAAAAUGAUGACAAUUCAAGGGGUUCCCGUGUGAGUAAAGAACUCGAAACUUGAAAAAAUAGGUAGGCAUAAAUUCACACGUCAACAAAAAAAUCUAAAAUAAGACUCUUGUAUAACCUUGAACUUAGCUGCGUUUAAUAAACCUCGUGAGUACAAUUUACAUGUGCGCGAAAUUCGUUCGCAUAUUUAAUUCGCCGAUAUAAAAAUAACACAAAGUAUCGUCCAAUGGAAUUUUUUCAUAAUUUUUUAGUUUCGUCUCAUCAUUUCUCACACAAUGUGUUUUUAAUGCGAACAAUUUAAAUAAAAAAGAGUUGGUUUAGUUUUCAAUAAUCCGUUCAUCCAAAUCAGUGAGAUAAAAUGUGAAUUUGCAUCCAGUCUCUGAAUACCUAUUCAAGCCACGAUGAAGAAAAAUUGACAGUUCUGUGGAUAAAAAUAUUAAUACCUUGCUUCAUUUUUGGGAUACCUACUAAGAUUUCGCGCUAUUCGUCACAAAGAGGAACAAUGAUUGCUUCGAAAUUCGUUACAUUAAUGUGGCUCACAAGUUUCAUAACUACAACAUAUUGCCAAAUGGAUCAAAAUGAGAGAUUGAGUUCUUGCAAAUAUUUUGAGAAGAAUGGCAGAAGUUGUAACCAAAUGAAGUUAUAUCGUGCUGACCAGCUCACUCACUCACGAGAAAUUCUAACUGAGGUUGAUUAUAUCGUUCAAAGUGAAAAUACUGAUGUAUUUUAUAUGUGUAAAGAUAUUUACUAUCCGGGAUAUUGGGGUAAAAUUUUACUGACUAUUGUAUCCAUGACAUUUCUAUUCAUUCAUCUAAUUUUCAAUUUCAAUAAGGGCGGGUAUUUUCAAAUUCGGCUGAACCAACUUCUAUACGGUUAUUCAAUAGGAUUGAUUGUAAUGUAUGCCUUAUUUAUCUACAUCUAUCUACAAUUCCCAGUAUCAGAUAUCCGAUUUAAUCUUACUAAAAUUUUUUGGACCUAUCAUUUUAUGUGGACGACGUUAAUUUUAAUUGUAUUUUGUUUCGAAUGUUGCUGCAUGUGCAAGCAAUGCGAAAAUACAGCUGAAAGGACUCCACUUGAAAAUUAUCUAUCGAUUUUUUUCGUUUUAUUUGGUUUUGCAUUAAGCAUAUCCCCGCCUAUAAUGUAUUUAAAUUUUUUGGAAUCACAUGCAAAUCAAUGCCCUUCAAUUCCUGGUCAUUCGGUUGUGACAGACGUGUCUGUAGAAAAUGUACAGUUUAUAGAAUUAAUCAAUAUUACUGUACCUUUAUUCAUGUUUGUAAUAGUUUCAGUGGGAAUAAUUUGCUUUAUUUGCUUACUGAUUAAUAAAUGGUGUGAUUAUCGUGAUACGAGACCAGUAAGAUCCCGAUUAAAUUCCGUAGCAGUUUACGUAAAAAUUAUAUCAUUUAUGGGUAUUAAUGGUAUAUUGUGGGCUAUUCACAGAGAGUACGAGUAUUAUGAAAAUAAACAUUUGUACACUACAGUUGAUUCAUCCACAAAUAUGAAAAUAAUCGCACAACUGAUUAUUGAUAUUCACGGUGUGCUUGUUUUUUUUGUUUUAUUAACUGGCUGUAGCACGAUUAAUGGUAUUUUGAACAAGUAUGGAUGUAAACCGAGAAAUGCUACUCAGCAGGGUGAUAAUGGUGCUGCAGAAACAACAACUACACAAUUUAUGUCUUGAUCUGAGAAAGAGCUUAGGUACUACCUUUUGUGUGUACCUAUUUUAAAUUGAAAUGUCAAGUGAUGUCAUACCUUGUGGUGAAGCGAAAAAUAUAUAUAUUUUUUAAA